rnacentral:misc_RNA from 1 species
CCCGGGUGGAGUAACCAUUUAUGGAGCUAGCCGUCGAAGGUGGGACAAAUGAUUGGGGUGAAGUCGUAACAAGGUAGCCGUAUCGGAAGGUGCGGCUGGAUCACCUCCUUUCUAAGGAUAUAUUCGGAACAACUUCUACGAAGUUGAAAAGGAAUAACAUUGACAUAUUGGAUUCCGUUUUGAAUGGUCCUAAUUUGAGGAUUCCACAUAAAUUGGACAUUGAAAACUAAAUAAGUAAGUAAAAUAUAAAUUUUACCAAGCAAAACCGAAUGAAUUAAAGUUUGAAAAAGCUUGAAUUCCAAACAAAUAAUCCCUAGUGGUCCAAAGAACACUCCCAGAUUAAUAACAUUUUGGGUUUAAAUGAAACGAUGUUUGAUUUAAACCAACGAUUAAGUUAUUAAGGGCGCACGGGGGAUGCCUUGGCACUAAAAACCGAUGAAGGACGUUACUAACGACCAUAUGCUUUGGGGAACUGUAAGUAAGCUGUGAUCCAGAAAUUUCCGAAUGGGGAAACCCAGCACGAAUUAUGUCGUGGUAUCGACAUGUGAAUAUAUAUCAUGGCUGAAGGCAUACCCGGAAAACUGAAACAUCUUAGUACCCGGAAGAAGAAAAAGAAAAAUCGAUUCCCUGAAUAACGGCGAGCGAAACGGGAAGAGCCCAAACCAAUAAGCUUGCUUAUUGGGGUUGUAGGACACUCUAUACGGAGUUACAAAUGUAUUAAUUAGACGAAUUAUCUGGAAAGAUAAAUCAAAGAAAGUAAUAAUCCUGGUAGUCGAAAAUUUAUACACUCUUGAGUGGAUGCCUG